rnacentral:rRNA from 1 species
CCUACGGGAGGCAGCAGUGAGGAAUAUUGGUCAAUGGCCGGAAGGCUGAACCAGCCAUGCCGCGUGAAGGAUGACUGCCCUAUGGGUUGUAAACCUCUUUUGUCGGGGAGCAAAGAGAGUCACGUGUGACUCAUUGAGAGUACCCGAAGAAAAAGCAUCGGCUAACUCCGUGCCAGCAGCCGCGGUAAUACGGAGGAUGCGAGCGUUAUCCGGAUUUAUUGGGUUUAAAGGGUGCGCAGGCGGAGGUGCAAGUCAGCGGUAAAAUUUCGGGGCUCAACCCCGUACUGCCGUUGAAACUGCAUCCCUUGAGUGCGCGAGAAGUAUGCGGAAUGCGUGGUGUAGCGGUGAAAUGCAUAGAUAUCACGCAGAACUCCGAUUGCGAAGGCAGCAUACCGGCGCGCAACUGACGCUCAUGCACGAAAGCGUGGGUAUCGAACAGGAUUAGAUACCCCAGUAGUC